rnacentral:rRNA from 1 species
GACGAACGCUGGCGGCGUGCCUAACACAUGCAAGUCGAACGGGGCUCUUUGGAUCGAGACUUCGGUCAAGUGAAUCUGAGCUUAGUGGCGGACGGGUGAGUAACGCGUGAGCAACCUGCCUUUCAGAGGGGGACAACAGUUGGAAACGACUGCUAAUACCGCAUAAUGUGUUUUGGGGGCAUCCCCGAAAUACCAAAGAUUUUAUCGCUCAAAGAUGGACUCGCGUCCGAUUAGUUAGUUGGUGAGGUAACGGCUCACCAAGACCGCGAUCGGUAGCCGGACUGAGAGGUUGAACGGCCACAUUGGGACUGAGACACGGCCCAG